CACCUCAUUGAUUGGAAGGAAAUCCUUCCAAUCAAUGAGAAACAACAACACCAUUGACCGGAAGGAAUCCCUUCCGGUUGAUGAGGCUAUUACACCCCAUCGAUUGGAGGGAAUCCCUUUGGGUCAAUGAGGCUGUUCACCCCAUUGAUUGGAAGGAUUCCCUCCUGGUUGAUGAGGGA
rnacentral:miRNA from 1 species